GACGGAGGAUGCAAGCGUUAUCCGGAAUUAUUGGGCGUAAAGCGUCCGCAGGUGGCUGUUCAAGUCUGCUGUCAAAGCGCAGAGCUUAACUCUGUACAGGCGGUGGAAACUGAAGAGCUAGAGUAUGGUAGGGGUAGAGGGAAUUCCCGGUGUAGCGGUGAAAUGCGUAGAUAUCGGGAAGAACACCAGCGGCGAAAGCGCUCUACUGGGCCAUAACUGACACUGAGGGACGAAAGCUAGGGGAGCGAAUGGG
rnacentral:rRNA from 1 species